AAACUAUUGCUGUGUUUGCAGGGUCUGGGCGGCUGGCCACGAGUCCGUGAUGGAAAACCUUCACCCGCAGCUGCCCCCACGGUCGCACAAGCCAUCUUGGCCACACCGUCCUCUGUGAACGACUUUAGUCAACGAAGGAGGCUCUCAGAGGACGUGCACCUGAUCACCUUGAAAUGACCACACUGAAGCAGGGACCGGAGGAGAUGGGUAAGGAAAGGGGCACUCGGAGAGGAAAGGGAUGCUCACAACCCCCCCCCCCCCCCCCCGGAUGUGCAAGAGGAGGACUGGAACCCUGGCCAGUUGGUCUCUCCAGGUCACAACAGCUGCCUCCUCUGUGGCCUCUAAUGGGAGGCGG